rnacentral:rRNA from 1 species
UACGUAGGGGGCUAGCGUUGUCCGGAAUCAUUGGGCGUAAAGCGCGUGUAGGCGGCCCGGUAAGUCCGCUGUGAAAGUCGGGGGCUCAACCCUCGGAUGCCGGUGGAUACUGUCGGGCUCGAGUACGGAAGAGGCGAGUGGAAUUCCUGGUGUAGCGGUGAAAUGCGCAGAUAUCAGGAGGAAUACCGAUGGCGAAGGCAGGUCUCUGGGCUGACACUGACGCUCAUGCACGAAAGCGUGGGGAGCAAACAGG